rnacentral:misc_RNA from 1 species
AAGCAACAAGAGCUUUUGAUCCGUGUCUCCAUUCUCUGUCUCGUCUAUGUUUUGGCUUUCAUUACUCGUUUGUUCAGUGUUCUUCGUUAUGAAUCCAUGAUUCAUGAAUUUGAUCCUUACUUCAAUUAUCGAACCACUCUUUUCCUUACCCAAAAGGGUUUCUAUGAAUUCUGGAAUUGGUUCGAUUCUGAGAGUUGGUACCCUCUUGGCCGUAUCAUCGGUGGCACGCUCUAUCCUGGUCUCAUGGUCACCGCCGCAAUCAUUUACUGGACUCUCCGAUUCCUCCGAUUUGCCGUACAUAUCCGCGAGGUCUGUGUCUUGACCGC